rnacentral:rRNA from 1 species
CGGGAGGCAGCAGUUAGGAAUCUUCCACAAUGGGCGAAAGCCUGAUGGAGCGACGCCGCGUGAGGGAUGAAGGCCCUCGGGUUGUAAACCUCUAAAAGGGGGACGAUAAUGACGGUACCCCUUGAAAAGCACCGGCUAACUCCGUGCCAGCAGCCGCGGUAAUACGGAGAGUGCAAGCGUUAUCCGGAAUCACUGGGCGUAAAGGGCGUGUAGGCGGCCUGUUAAGUCCGAUGUUAAAGACCGGGGCUCAACCCCGGCACGGCGCUGGAUACUGGCAGGCUAGACGGCUGGAGAGGAAAGUGGAAUUACCAGUGUAGCGGUGGAAUGCGUAGAUACUGGUAGGAACACCCAUUGCGAAGGCAGCUUUCUGGACAGCCCGUGACGCUGAGGCGCGAAAGUGUGGGGAGCAAACCGGAUUAGAUACCCGGGUAGUCCACACCCUAAAC